AAUCUUGGCGUUCAGACAUUCGACAACACGGACUUUAUUGUAUCCUAUUUAUAAGAUAUUGAGGUUUGGUCCGAUUGCCAACAGACUGGCAACAAAAACGUACACUGUAAAGAAGAAUGUGCUUCGGUUUCAUUGACAGAUUGACAGGAUGUCAGACAAUAGACGGUAAUAUAAAUAGAAAGUGCAAUCUAAAAAAUAAAAAGCGAUGAAUAUAAUAGAUCUCGUCUUUACACAUGCAACAAAAGUACAUAUUUACGAUUGAUUGUAGUUCUAAGAAGUUAAAUCUAAAAUUUCUAAAUUUCAUCUCAAAUUUUAGUGUUGACCGAAAGAAUUUUACCUAAGCGAAAAAUACCGAACCAAUUUGAUGUAAUUUGAUAAGGUUUGAGAAAAAAAAUGAUAAAAAAAAAUAAAAACGAUACUUACAGAGUUCAAAAAGAAACAUAUUACGAAAUAAAGAGAGAAUAAAUUAAUGCCAAUUGUAUUACAAUAUUUAUUGAAAAUCAUACCAAUAAUACUUAUUCAAAAUCAUUAAGAAAAAUGGAGAAGUCAGUUUUCUUUUAUAAACAGUAUUUGCAAAUGGAAGAAUCAUCGUUUGAUGUAGAACACGUAGUAUAAAGCAUAAUUACUGCAUUUUCAAUUAUUUGUAGAAAAAUUUCUAAAAACAGAAAUAUACAAAUAACAGAAAACUAAAUGAUAAUCCUAUGAUCCACAACGAGCGUCAUGGAUUACUUGCUUCAAAAUAAGUGAUUCGUGUGGCUAGUACAUCACUGAAAUAACAUCCUAAUAUUAUUAUAAACAUUUAAAGUUAUCCGGCUAUUGAAAAUGUGUAAUAUUUACUUAUUAUUGCCAACGCAAAUAAUUUACUUAGCAUUGAUGAUUACUAAUGUAUACGCCGCGUAAUCCUUUAUUGCACAGAUUGUAAAUUGUGCGUGAUCUUCGAACAGGCUUAUCAAAAAUUUUAUUCUCGCUCUGUUGAUGCAAGAUUAUUUUAUGAAAUAUAAGGAAAUAUUUUACUAUAAGCAGUGUUAUCUAAAAUCUGAUUACGGUUUCAAGCAAAUCUCUCGUGUCAAAUUAUCUUACGACACAGUGUAUACACAAUCUCGGUAUCAACCAUCGCGGAAUAUUACAAAAAGUUAAACCCAUAAACAACUUUUUCCAUUUAUGGAACAUCUCGCAUAGGACUUUCGCAAAGAAAUUUAACCAUUUAUAACGUUCCAUAAAUUGAUUUUGUGAUAAAGUUCUCUCGCGAAGCGAUUAGUAAAGUGCCAUCACACACGCAACGAUAACUUUUCUUUCAGCACUGAAAGAGUUAAUAUUUAACUGUAUCUGGCUAAUAAAUUAUAUCUUGUCACAGUUAUUUAAGAUCGACUAAUAUCCAUCGUAAACUCUCGAAAUAGCCCAAUCGCUCUUAACUUUAAAACAAUGUGAUAAACUUAUAUUAUGUAAUCUACAGAAACUUGAAAUAUUAAAAACUCCUUAACAAUAUACAAAAAAGGUCAAAACAA